UCCGAACUACAUCCGGAACAAUAGCAACUAAUUUGCCUGUUGUUGCUGCAAACCUCAUACAUGUCAACUGCGCCGACUCUAUUUACACACGUUCUUUUUAAAAUCCUCAAUCAGUGAGGAUUAUUUUUUUAAAUAUAUAUGUGUAUAUAAUAACUGAGCUUCUCAGUAAACAUUCGGCGACGUGUUGUGUCCUGUUAGCCCGUAGAGCUUCAUGCUAGCCGCUAGCCGUCAGUGCAGCGCUUCUGACUUUCUUCAGGUUAUUUAUAAAGCAGAACACAACAUGAGUGAGAACGACAGCGCAAACCAUGAGGCGACUGCUAGUAAAGAAGGCCAGAUGUUUCUCUCCGGGAACAAAAGCACAAGUGUAAACAGUUCCCCUCCGCAGGGAGACUCUGUGUUUGACAUGGACGACCCGGAGGAGGAAGAGGAGAGCGACGCGCUGGACACAGCCGAGGCGAGAGAGAGCGCGCCGAGCCCGGCCGAGCCAUGCGACGAGAGCGCGCCUAAGCGCUGCGUUUACGACGGCUGCUCUGAGACUAGCGCUCUGGGUGCCAAGCAGAGGAAACCGUGGAUGUGUAAAAAACACCGCAACAAAAUGUAUAAGGACAAGUACAAGAAGAAGAAGAGCGACCAGGCCAUGGCGUCUGGGAAAUUAGAAGAAGGCUCAGAGGAGAGGCCUGUGUCUGUAACAAAGCAGCGGCUCGGCGCUAUUGGAGAGCGACCAACAAGACCUUCACUCAUAGAGCAAGUGUUAAACCAAAAGAGGCUGAAUGUCUGAUGAGGUUGGAGAAUACAUGGCAAGGGGUCUGAGACCAUUCCUCCAUACAGAAUCUCUCCAGAUCCUUCAAAUUUCGAGCUCCACGCUGGUGGACUCUCCUCUUCAGUUCACCCCACAGGUUUUCUAUGGGUUUCAAGUCAGGGGACUGGGAUGUCCGUGGCAGGAUCUUGAUUUUGUGUCUCUCUUGCGGAGUCCAGAGGUCAUCAGUUUUCUCCAGCAGCAACAGCGUCUUCUCACCAUGCAGACGCAAUCUCAGAGACAUGACCAGCAAAGCUACUGAGCACCGUGUGUGCUGACAUUUUACUGGGGAUUGUACACACCGUACAAGUACUUUUAAGAAGAGCUUAUUAAGCUUAAGAAAGCAUGAAGGAUUUGGACUUGGAUGUUACACUGUAGUCUCCACUGUGGUGUGAGGUCGCACAUUUCAUCACAGCCUGGAUGGGCUAUCAUGAUUUUUAGUAGCAGUUCUACUGUAUAUAAAAUAAUUUUUAAGCUACCACUUGGGCCUUUAUAACAUGCUGUUAUUUUAUGCAUUAUAAUGCAUUUGUCAUUUUAAAACAAUUAUGUGAAAGCAGCUACAUGGUAUCACUAGUAGGUGAUUCUAGUGAUUUUUUGUCUGUUCAUAGAAAUGAAUUUUUUUUAACCAUUUAUAGUGAUGUGAUAUUAAUUCUUAUAUAUAAAGCUGUGUACAUGCAUCCUUAUUGUACAGUGGUGCUUGAAAGUUUGUGAACCGUUUAGAAUUUUCUAUAUAGCUGCAUAAAUACGACCUAAAACAUCAUCAUAUUUUAAGUCCUAAAAGUAGAAAAGAGAACACAAUUAUACAAAUGAGACGCAAAAUAUUAUACUUGGUCAUUUAUUUAUUGAGGAAAAUGAUCCAAUAUUACAUAUCUGUGAGUGGCAAAAGUAUGUGAACCUCUAGGAUUAGCAGUUUUUUUUAAAGGUGAAAUUAGAGUCAGGUGUUUUCAAUCAGACAGUCAGGUGUGAGUGAGCCCCCUGUUUUAUAUAAAGAAAAGGCAUCUAUCAAAGUCUGACCACUACACAUGUCUGUGGAAGUGAUUUCUGAGGAGCUCAGAGAGUUGUUGAUGCUCAUCAGGCUGGAAAAGGUUACAAAACCAUCUCUAAAGAGUUUGGACUCCACCAAUACACAGUCAGACAGAUUGUGUACAAAUUGAGAAAAUUCAAGACCAUUGUUACCCUCCUCAGGAGUGCUCGACCAAUUAAGAUCACUCCAGUAGCAAGAUGUGUGAUGGACCAUGAAGUCACAAAGGAACCCAGGGUAACUUCUAAACAAAUAAAGGCCUCUCUCACAUUGGUUAAUAUUCAUGAGUCUAACAUUAGGAGAACACUGAAAAACAGUGGUGUGCAUGGCAGGGUUGCAAAGAGAAAGUCACUGCUUUCCAAAAUGAACAUUGCUGUCCUUCUGCAGUUUGCUAAAGGUCACAUGAACAAUUGGAAAAAAAUUUUGUGGACGGAUGUGACCAAUAUAGAAAUUAUUUAUUUAAAUAAGAAGGAUAAUAUUUGGAGAAAGGUAAACACUGCAUUCCAGCAUAAGAACCUUAUCCUAUCUGUGAAACAUGGUGGUGGUAGUAUCAUGGUUUGGGCCUGUUUUACUGCAUCUGAGUCAGGACGGCUUGCCCUCAUUGCUGGAACAAUGAAGUCUGAAUUAUACCAGUGAAUUCUAACGGAAAACGUCAGGACAUCUGUCCAUAAACUGAAUCUCAAGAGAAAGUGGGUCAUGCAACAAGACAAUGACCCUAAGCACACAAGUCAUUCUACCAAAGAAUGGUUAAAGAAGGAUAAAGGAAUGGCCAAGUCAAAGUCCUGACCUUAAUCCAAUAGAAUUGUUGUGGAAGGACCUGAAGCAAGCAGUUCAUGUGAGGAAACCCACCAAUAUCCCAGAUUUGAAGCUGUUCUGUACUGAGGAACUGUACUGAGGAAUGGGCUAAAAUUCCUCCAAGCUGAUGUGCAGGACUGAUCAACAGUUACCGUAAAGGUUUAGUUGCAGUUAUUGCUGCACAAGGGGCUCACACCAGAUACUGAAAGCAAAGGUUCACAUACUUUUGCCACUCUCAGAUAUGUAAUAUUGGAUAAUUUUCCUCAAUAAAUAAAUGACCAAGUAAUUGGAAAUUUCUAAAGGGUUCACAAACUUUCAAGCACCACUGUAAAUAUGUGACUAAGUAUCACAUUCUUUUUAUACAGGUACUAAAACUUGGGAUAACCUGGCUGAAGUUUUAGGAAUCUCAAUCUCAAAUACAUUUGAAUAAUUGAUCAUUUCUGUCUUCAUGUUGAUUUGUUUAGUUUUGUGUUCGCAUGAGGUUUGUUUUGUUUGCGAUAUUCUUUAAAGCUCAAGCAAGUGUGACCACACAUGACUGAGAGGGAAAUUCUGUAUUUCAAAAAAUAGGAAAAAAAAUCAAGCAUGUAAUAGGAUUCACAAUGUAGACAUGUUGCCAACACAAAACAAACAUCAAGCUAACAUUGCUACUACUGACUCUUUCCUUAAUCUUCCAUCACUGUGUUGCUCUCUAGACGGUACAGAAAUCAAAUUAUGGAAUAUUGGGCUUUUUGAUAAAAAAAAACAAGGACUAAACAGAAACGGUCCUAAUACUCUAGCUAUUCGAUGCAAAAGAUGCCUUAAAGUCAUUUGAAGUCUGUGAUAGCCUACUGGUACCAUGAACCUUUAGAGAAAACUGAGAUGGUGGUUUGGACACUGCUUUCUCCUGUGCUGAUCCUCAGGUUGUGCUGUGAGUUAUGGAGUGUACAUACAGUGUUAGGACACGGAUGAGAUAGGGUUGUGUGGGGAACCCAUUUGGGUUAGAACUUUAUCAAGCCAUUGCAGAGGUCCGUGCAGGUGGAUCUCAAUCCAGCAAGGGGUGCUCGUGACAUCCUGGCGGUGGUAUUCUGCACCCCAGCCCUGUGGGAGAAAAAGACGGUGUUGUACAGUACUAACCAUAACAGUGUUUUCAGAAAGCUUAUUAUAUCUAUUAGGGGUGGAGAAAAUAUGAAAAUGAAUGGUAUAGUAAUAUUUUUUGAAAAACUAUCAGUUUAUCAGGGUAUAUUUGCUAACAAUUUAGUAUUUGUUUGAGGAUGAAAUUAACUGGAAUAGAAUAUUUACGUUUGCUCUUUAAAGGUUUUAAAGUCUGUUCUUAAAGUCUUGUAGUAUAAUUCAGUGGAUGGACCACAUGUAGAAUCAUCAUCAUCAUUACCUAUACUCAUAUAUCAUAAUCUUAAUGUUGUAACAUUUCAGAUUACUGUGGCAUUGUGCCAUAGGGCCCAAUUACACCCCUGAUAUCCAUAUAGACUGUUAACAAGACAAGACACUGGACUUUUAUGGCAAGAACGUGCAUUCAUUUUCUGCACAGGAUUCUGUAGCAGAGCCAUGCAGAGAGCUUCAGAUGGUCAGGUAUGCUAAAUAGGGGCACGUGCAUCAAAAUUCAAAACAACAACUACAGGAUAGCCUGCUGAACUACAACAUAUUCAAAAAGAAGAUUCUUAAACCACCCCAUAUUAUAUUAGAUUGACAUUGAUCAAAUUAUAUACCAAAUGUUUCAUAUAUUUUAUUAAUAUUGAAAGCCAAUAAUAUAAACAUAAUAAAGUAAAAUUUAAAUUCACAACUUGGUUUGUGAAUCAAAAUUCUAGCUACAGUGGAGGCACGUUUUGAUCCAAACACAAACCAGUUUUAUAAAUAAAUGAUAAGGGGCAAAAUAACAUUUGUAGUGGAAAUGUUAGUGUCAAACUGGCUAUUUCACAAAGCUACUAUCACUAAGCAAUACAUAUACAUACAUACAUACAUACAUAUAUCAGGUCUUAGUUGAUCGAUCGGUAUCAGUUCUUAGAUGUAAGUGGAGACUUCUCCACGCAAAACCGAGGUUAAAUUUGGUGUUCCACAAAGUUCUGUAUUAGGCCCACUGCUUUUUACUUUAUAUAUGCUACCUCUAGGUCAAAUUAUUCAUAAACAUGAAAUUAGCUUCCACUGUUAUGCUGAUGAUACACAGUUGUAUGUUUCAGCAAAGUCAGAUGACAGACAGCAGCUUAGUACAGUUGAGGAAUGUGUAAAGGACAUUAGACGUUGGAUGCUUAUUAACUUCCUCUUACUUAAUUCUGAUAAGACAGAAGCACUUCUACUAGGACCACAUGUAGCUAGAAGUAAGUUUUCUGAUCACACAGUAACUCUGGAUGGACUUUCUGUUUCGUCAUCUGCAGUAGUAAAAGACCUUGAAGUAAUUAUUGACUCCAGCCUAUCAUUUGAUGCUCAUGUAGAUAAUAUUACUAGGAUAGCCUUCUUUCAUCUCAGAAAUAUUUCUAAGAUAAGAAAUACUAGUUCAUGCAUUCGUCACCUCUAGACUAGAUUACUGCAAUGCCUUACUGUCUGGAUGUUCCAGUAGGAACAUAAACAAACUCCAGUUAGUCCAGAAUGCAGCUGCUAGAGUCCUAACUAGAACAAGAAGAUACAACCAUAUCACACCGAUAUUAUCAAUACUGCAUUGGCUCACAGAGAAAUCACGCAUUAAUUAUAAAAUACUAUUAUUAACCUAUAAAUCACUAAAUGGUCUCAGUAUCUAAGUGAACGUUUGGUCAAAAGGUGCAGGCUAUUUGUCGGUACAUUGAAUAGUGAAGGCUACAGCAGGGGGGAAGAUUUUUCGCUUAUAGAGCCCCACUGUUAUGGAACAGUAUUCCAAUUAGUUUUCGGGACUCAGACACAGUCUCAGUGUUUAAGUCUAGGCUUAACCCUCUUACGCCGUAUGGCCGAAAAACCGGCUUGCCCGUCUUUGAUCUAUUCCCGUAAGGUCGAUAUACCGGCUUGGUCGUCUAUGCCAAAUCCCCGUAAGGCCGAUAUAGCGGCUUUACAGUGUAAACGUUAUCCCCGUAAGGCCGGUGUACUGGCAUUACUCUGCUAUGAUUCCUUACUUAUAUAAUUAUUAUUUUUUGACCCGGAAGGUUGAUGGCAUCAUGACGUCACGACGUGAUUACCUUAUUACGCUGGCAUUACGAUGAAGAUCCAAGCGUGAAUAUUGGUGUAAUAGUAGAAGUGAACUAAAAAUGCCAAAGCGAAAAGCUAAUCGUGUUCCAGCUAAAGUUACACCUACAGUGA